rnacentral:rRNA from 1 species
UGAGGAAUAUUGGUCAAUGGGCGCAGGCCUGAACCAGCCAAGUAGCGUGAAGGAUGACUGCCCUAUGGGUUGUAAACUUCUUUUAUAAAGGAAUAAAGUCGGGUAUGUAUACCCGUUUGCAUGUACCUUAUGAAUAAGCAUCGGCUAACUCCGUGCCAGCAGCCGCGGUAAUACGGAGGAUGCGAGCGUUAUCCGGAUUUAUUGGGUUUAAAGGGAGCGUAGACGGGCCGUUAAGUCAGCUGUGAAAGUUUGAGGCUCAACCUUAAAAUUGCAGUUGAUACUGGCGUCCUUGAGUACGGUUGAGGCAGGCGGAAUUCGUGGUGUAGCGGUGAAAUGCUUAGAUAUCACGAAGAACCCCGAUUGCGAAGGCAGCCUGCUAAACCGCCACUGACGUUGAGGCUCGAAAGUGUGGGUAUCAAACAGGAUUAGAUACCCUGGUAGUCCACACGGUAAACGAUGGAUACUCGCUGUUGGCGAUAGACUGUCAGCGGCUUAGCGAAAGCGUUAAGUAUCCCACCUGGGGAGUACGCCGGCAACGGUGAAACUCAAAGGAAUUGACGGGGGCCCGCACAAGCGGAGGAACAUGUGGUUUAAUUCGAUGAUACGCGAGGAACCUUACCCGGGCUUGAAUUGCAGACGAAUUGCUUGGAAACAGGCAAGCCGCAAGGCGUCUGUGAAGGUGCUGCAUGGUUGUCGUCAGCUCGUGCCGUGAGGUGUCGGCUUAAGUGCCAUAACGAGCGCAACCCUCGUGUCCAGUUACUAGCAGGUUAUGCUGAGGACUCUGGACAGACUGCCAUCGUAAGAUGUGAGGAAGGUGGGGAUGACGUCAAAUCAGCACGGCCCUUACGUCCGGGGCUACACACGUGUUACAAUGGGGGGUACAGCAGGCAGCUACCGGGCGACCGGAUGCCAAUCCCGAAAGCCUCUCUCAGUUCGGACUGGAGUCUGCAACCCGACUCCACGAAGCUGGAUUCGCUAGUAAUCGCGCAUCAGCCACGGCGCGGUGAAUACGUUCCC